rnacentral:rRNA from 1 species
CCUACGGGAGGCAGCAGUGAGGAAUAUUGGUCAAUGGGCGUAAGCCUGAACCAACCAAGUCGCGUGCGGGAUGAAGGUUCUAUGGAUCGUAAACCUCUUUUAUCAGGGAAUAAAGUGUGGGACGUGUCCUAUUUUUUAUGUACCUUAUGAAUAAGGAUCGGCUCACUCCGUGCCAGCAGCCGCGGUAAUACGGAUGAUCCGAGCGUUAUCAGUAUUUAUUGGGUUUAAAGGGUGCUUAGGCGGCCUUUUAAGUCAGCGGGGAAAGUCUGUGGCUCACCCAUAGAAUUGCCGUUGAAACUGGGGGGCUUGAGUAUGUUUGAGGCAGGCGGAAGGCGUGGUGUAGCGGUGAAAUGCUUAGAUAUCACGCAGAACCCCGAUUGCGAAGGCAGCCUGCCAAGCCAUGACUGACGCUGAUGCACGAAAGCGUGGGGAUCAAACAGGAUUAGAUACCCGGGUAGUC